CCUACGGGUGGCAGCAGUGGGGAAUAUUGCACAAUGGGGGAAACCCUGAUGCAGCGACGCCGCGUGAGUGAAGAAGUAUUUCGGCUUGUAAAGUUCUAUCAGCAGGAAAGAAAAUGACGGUACCUGACUAAGAAGCCCCGGCUAACUACGUGCCAGCAGCCGCGGUAAUACGUAGGGGGCAAGCGUUAUCCGGAUUUACUGGGUGUAAAGGGAGCGUAGACGGCAGCACAAGUCUGGAGUGAAAUGCCGGGGCUUAACCCCGGAACUGCUUUGGAAACUGUGCAGCUAGAGUGCAGGAGAGGUAAGUGGAAUUCCUGGUGUAGCGGUGAAAUGCGUAGAUAUUAGGAGGAACACCAGUGGCGAAGGCGGCUUACUGGACUGUAACUGACGUUGAGGCUCGAAGGCGUGGGGAGCAAACAGGAUUAGAUACCCCUGUAGUC
rnacentral:rRNA from 1 species